GACGAACGCUGGCGGCGUGCUUAACACAUGCAAGUCGAACGGGGUCCAAUCAUUCGCAAGAAUGAGGAAGACCUAGUGGCGAACGGGUGCGUAACACAUGAGGAACCUACCCCGGACUCU
rnacentral:rRNA from 1 species